rnacentral:lncRNA from 1 species
UUGUGAAAAUGACUGAUAUUAAUAUUAACAGGCUUAAAAGGAGUAGCUAAAAGGCCACCAAAACAGACAAAAAAGAAAAUCACAACUGUCCAAUAUAAAAGAAAAUUAAAAACUACGCCUAGAAAGUAACGAAACAUCAAUAAGCAAAAAAUGCGUGAGCCUGCAACAAAACUUUUCAAUCUCCAUUAUCAGCCACAGCAGGGCUCCAUUUCCUUCGUAUUAUCGAUCAGAGACCCAGAGCCAGCAACGCUUUGCAAACAAUAUUAGAGAUUCAAUGAACCUUCUCUAACUCAAAGCGAACAUAUGGAACUUAGGUCCGUUGGCACCAUCGUAACCAGUCUUCCUCCACCACCAGUCGCACAGUCUCCGGUAUUCCAUUAACCCAGGCCCCACACACUUUCCGAUGUCGACUUUCCACUGCCAAAAUAUGGGCUACAGCGUUAAGCGGACGGUUCACAAACUUGUAAGAGACUUCAUCAAAGCCCUGGCGCAAUCUAUGAAUAUUAUGAACAAUCGACCUAAUAAUCGAUCUAUCUUCCUCAUUUUUAAUCAGUUUUUUAAUGACUGUCAGGGAGUCCCCUUCCACAAUCAACCGUUGAAAGCCCUUCAAUUUUGCGAGGAUCAGCGCUCUUUCACAAGCUCGUGCUUCCGCCACGAAUGCGUCAUCCACACCUUCCACCAGAUAAGUAACUGCUUCUAUAACUUCCCCUCUGUGAUUUCUGGCUAAGAUUGCUAUUGUCGCAAAAUUAUUUCCUGAAAUAUACGACGCAUCAAAAUUAAUUUUAAUAAAACCAUAGUCAGGAGGCCUCCAGACUUCAUUUCUCAUAAGAGCAGUAGAAUCACAUAGAUUCUCACGAACAAGCCAUGGAUCUCGCUCAUAGCCCCUGAUAAAUCCCAAUAGUUGUGGCAUAGAAAGCUUAAUCCCCUCAUGAACCAACUUAUUUCUAUGAAACCAGAAACACCAAAGAGUUAAAGCAAUAAACCUUUUUUUCGACCUUCUGCUUCAAGAUAUGUUUUAACAAAAUUAGCCUUAUAAUCCAGGGAAUCGUCCAAAGGGGGAAUUUGAACUUGCAACGAUGUCCAUAUAUUUCGAAGGACCCUACAAGACCCCAACAAAUGCGCUGUGGUUUCUAGAUCUUCCUUACACAGUGGGCAUACAGCCUCCUCACAUAGUGUUCGGCGUGCCAAGUUCCCAUAGUGUGGCACCAUGUUAUUGAACAAUCUCCAAACAUGUAUUUUUAUUUUCUCUGGAAUAUGCAAAGCCCAGAUAUCCAUGUAAAAACUUUUGUAUUAUUCAUUUGUAGAGGACAUGUGUAGAUUGCUCUGUAAAUAAUCUGUAAUAAGAACUCGAUACCCACUCCUGACAGUAUACUCACCUGAGCCUUCAUACUUCCAUACCAACAUAUUCUCUGGUCGGCUUUCAGAGAUGGGAAUGUCAAAGAUUCGAUUAGCAGUGUUAUCAUCCACUAGAUUGUGAAUCAACUCUCUAUUCCAGGUACUGUCUUCUUCAUUCAUUAACUAAUUCACUGUUGACCAAGGAGGCUUAAUUUCAAUAACUGGGAUUCUGUUAUUCUCUCUUCCAGGCAGCCAGGGGUCAUUCCAAAUGUUGAUACUUGCACCAUUUCCUACACGCCACAAGAUUCCAUCACUGAUCAGGUCCCGCGCACUACAAAUACUUCUCCAAGUAAAUGAAGGGUAAGAACCAACCUUUGCUGUUAGUAUAGUGGAAAGAGGGAAAUAACGGGCUUUUAAAACCUUGGCUAAUAAACAAUGGGGCUAGGUUAAAAUACGCCACACCUGCUUCGUUAAAAGGGCCUUAUUAAACAAGAAUAAAUUUUUAAACCCCAGCUCUCUAAAACUUUUCGGUUUAUACAGAACAUCCCACGAACUCCAAUGAAUCCCCUUCGAUGUUUUAUUAUUCGUCCACCAGAAUCGAUUCAUUAUUCCUUCCAAUGUUUUACAUAAUGACUUUGGCAAUAAAAAACACUGCAUAGCAUAAAUUGAAGUUGACUGCAAAACUGAUUUAAUGAAAACCUCCUUAUCCCCCAUUGAAAGAUAACGCAUACUCCACCCCUCCACCCAUUUUCUGAAUCGGUCCACAAAGUUAGCAAAAGCCCACUUUUUCCUCCUACCCACCAUCAUAGGCAAACCGAGAUACUUUUCAGGAUUUGAGGCCAGACGUACCCUUAAUAAAUUAACAAUAUCCUUCUGAACACUAGAGACGACAUUUGUAGCGAAAUAAAUGAGGGAUUUUUCAAAAUUCACUCUCUGCCCCGAGACCGUCUCAUAUUCAUGGAUAAUAGCCCGAACCACUUCAGCUCCUUCACAGGAGGCAUCACCAAAAAGAAUGCAAUCAUCUGCAAAAAAUAAGUGGUUGACCGAAAACUUCUCUCUACCUAUAGGUGCCCCCAUCAUCAUCCAUUUAGUUUUAGCUUCCUGAAUGAGCAGCGAAAACCCUUCAGCACAAAUCAAGAAUAAAUAAGGACUAAGAGGGUCUCCUUGUCUGAGUCCUCUCGAUGGUGUGAACCAGUCCCCGCUAGCUCCAUUAAUACUAAUAGAGUACGUGACAGAGCAUACACAACGCAUGACAAGAACGAUCCAAUCCUCAUGAAAACCCAGGUGCUUCAUCAUACCUGCCAAAAAAUCCCAUUCCACACGAUCAUACGAUUUACUCAUAUCUAGUUUAAACGCAAAGUUGUCUUUCUUACCUCUCUUUUUCAUUUUUAGGGAAUGAAGUAUCUCAUAAGCAAUCAGUACAUUAUCAGAUAUAAGCCUACCUGGAAUAAAGGCCUUUUGAGCUUCAUUAAUACAAGACCCCAGUGUUUCGCUCAUCCUCAAUACCAACACUUUUGCUAUAAUUUUGUAAAUGACAUUACAAAGCCUGAUAGGCCUAAAAUGAGUCAUGUUACUCGAUUUUUCAACCUUUGGAAUCAGGAUAAUGCGCGUUUUGUUAAUAACACUCAAAUCCUCUUGUCCCUGUAGAACGGAUAAACAAAAGCGGGUAACCUCAGGCCCAACAAUGUGCCAAUAACGCUGAAAGAAGAGGGCCAGAAACCCAUCCAACCUAGGGGCUUUCAAAGGCGUCAAGGAUUUGACUGCAUAGACAAUGUCCUCCUCCGUAAAUUGUCUUAAGAGCCUUUCAUUCAUACUACUAGUAACUUUUUCCUCUACUAAGCUAAACAAAUGCUCAUCCGAACCUGACUCUGAAGCAGAGAAAAGCUUACCAAAAUAGUCAGAAGCUACCUGGAGGAACUCCUCAGUGGAAUUAGUACUUCUCCCAGCUCCAUCUUCUAGUUCAGAAAUUCUACAACGAAAGUGACGUUGGACAGCUACCUUGUGAAAAAAGCUGGUAUUACGAUCCCCAUUCUUUAGCCAAUUCACCCACGCACGCUGCUCCUAAAAUAAUUCCUCCUUUUCAGCUUCCAACUUAACCCCCAAUUGGACCUCUAUAAUCUCAGCUAGAACUUCAUCUGACGGAUCUUGAGUGUAAAGAUUCAUUAAUCUGUCUUCUAAACGGAACCGAUUCCUCCGCUCCUUAAUACUAUUCAC